UUGUGGUCGUGUUUGGAGAAUUUCCGGUUUCCUCUUAAAACGUGCAUGCGGUGAUGGAAAUACCAUUUGAGGAGUUGGAUGAAGAAACGAAGAGUACUGUGCUGUAGUUCCCUUCUGUCCACUUGAGGCUCAUCGCAAGAUCACCCAGGGCUAACUUCUUUCUAUUUGCCUCAUGACGGUCACCUGAUGUCAGAGUCAUCAUUUCUCCUUCCCGUAAUUUGUUGGAGUGGAGUGAACGCCGUCUUCAGGCAGCUUUGCCGGCGAGGCUCAUCGUGUGCUGAUGGAUUUGUGCCAACUCAGAGGAUGAACUUCAUUAUCAGACUUUUGUGUCCAGCAAAAGGGGAGAUGGAUGAUUAUUACAUGAGUCCCCUCAGGCUCUCUGUCAUCGCCCUUUACGUUAUGGCUUAAUUGACACAGUCGUCAUCAGCGCGCUUGCCUUUAUUAUUGCACAUCUUCUUCGUCCAUCUUUUUUUAUGAGGUUUCCAGUUAUCCUUCCUGAUGUGCUUUCAGAACUGACUGUUUGAGGCGUUUCAGUGCACUCCGCAGUCAUCCUGGGCGAUGUGACAUUUUCACAAAGUUUUUUUUCUUUACUAGUAAUAUGAAAAUUCAUGGUUGCUUUUGGGGAAAAUGCUCCUUUUGUCAAAACACAUGUAACAUGAU